GCCGCCGUGGUGAAACUGGCAGACACGCGGGACUUAGAAUCCCGUGGCAGAAAUGCCGUAGCGGUUCAAAUCCGCUCGGCGGCACCA
rnacentral:tRNA from 1 species